rnacentral:rRNA from 1 species
AGUGAACGCUGGCGGUAGGCCUAACACAUGCAAGUCGAACGGCAGCACAGUAAGAGCUUGCUCUUACGGGUGGCGAGUGGCGGACGGGUGAGGAAUACAUCGGAAUCUACUUUUUCGUGGGGGAUAACGUAGGGAAACUUACGCUAAUACCGCAUACGACCUACGGGUGAAAGCAGGGGAUCUUCGGACCUUGCGCGAUUGAAUGAGCCGAUGUCGGAUUAGCUAGUUGGCGGGGUAAAGGCCCACCAAGGCGACGAUCCGUAGCGGGUCUGAGAGGAUGAUCAGCCACACUGGAACUGAGACACGGUCCAGACUCCUACGGGAGGCAGCAGUGGGGAAUAUUGGACAAUGGGCGCAAGCCUGAUCCAGCCAUACCGCGUGGGUGAAGAAGGCCUUCGGGUUGUAAAGCCCUUUUGUUGGGAAAGAAAAGCAGCAGGUUAAUACCCCGCUGUUCUGACGGUACCCAAAGAAUAAGCACCGGCUAACUUCGUG